rnacentral:rRNA from 1 species
AACGAACGCUGGCGGCAGGCCUAACACAUGCAAGUCGAACGCUGUAGCAAUACAGAGUGGCAGACGGGUGAGUAACACGUGGGAACAUACCCUUAGGUUCGGAAUAGCUCAGGGAAACUUGAGGUAAUACCGGAUAAGCCCUUCGGGGGAAAGAUUUAUCGCCAUUGGAUUGGCCCGCGUCUGAUUAGCUAGUUGGUGAGGUAAUGGCUCACCAAGGCGACGAUCAGUAGCNGGUCUGAGAGGAUGACCAGCCACACUGGGACUGAGACACGGCCCAGACUCCUACGGGAGGCAGCAGUGGGGAAUAUUGGACAAUGGGCGAAAGCCUGAUCCAGCCAUGCCGCGUGAGUGAAGAAGGCCUUAGGGUUGUAAAGCUCUUUCAGCGGGGAAG